rnacentral:rRNA from 1 species
AUGUACAUCCUUAUAGAAUAGUGUUAAUGCAUUGGACCCCAUUAGAACUCUAUAGUUAAGUGCACUCAGGAUAGAGUAAUACUAGGAUGAGUGACCGCCCAAUAAGUCCUAGUGUUUUACAUU